rnacentral:tRNA from 1 species
AUUUAAAUAAUUUAAGAAAAAUAUUGAUUUGUGGAGUCAAAAUUGUUUUAUGUAAACUUUAAGUU